UGAUGAUAUUCACAUAAUGUUCAAGAUAUAUUAUCCACCGGCUCAGGUAUCUCGCGCCCGGAGCUUGUGACCUUUGCCCACGAUAAAUCCGUGGGGGUCCACCAGCGUUCCCCCUUCUCUCGCCAGUGUGUGACGGUUGGUUCUUAUUCACCGACAGAUAAAAUUGAAUAUGACAGUGCGUUUUGGUCUCUCGUGACCUAUGUACGAGACGUCGUCGCCGUUGCCCUUAUGGUAGCAACAGUGCUAAUAAGCACGUGUUUGUGGCGUUCCUUUUGUGGUUGCUUGUUGCGCCGUUCAGCCAGUCGACUUGGCCUUGCCGUCGACCUUUUUGCGCGUCCGUCCAUUGUGGAGACUCGCGUGUUCUUUCGGCGACAUUACUACAUUAGUGGUGGUUUCGGUUGCUGAGUGUGCUAUUGUUGGGUUGUUCUGCACUCAGAUAUUGUUGUGUCGUAGCGACAGCGCUUUCGUUGCCUUUCGUUUAUUUUCUUUGUCUAUGAUUGCCACCAGUGGGGAGAUUCGGAUUUGGGCAUAUUCGCACACCGGUGAUCUCUAAUCAGCCGCAGACGAAGUGGCGUCUACAAUCAGUGUUAUAUUACCGAUAAUAACCUCCGAAGGUCAACAACCUGCCGAUUGACACCAGAUUCCAGUAAGGCUCUAUAUAGAAUGGGUACACUUUGAAAAAAGUCAUUUUGAGUUACAUCGCCAAGAUGGGAUUGUCAAACUUAAGCCUAAUGCCAUUCUAAACACUUUAAUGUACCAAAUCCACCUGCUAGACUUGACACCAAAAGGAAAUCUGUUUAUAAGAACUUGUAUGAAAAAUAUUGAUCGAAAACUGAUGUCCAGUGUGAUUGGGCUGAACUUACAAAACCAUCUGCUCGUCUGCAUGUCUUACUGGUUAUAAACCAUCAUAGAAAAAUAGUAUAGUGCAGAAGAAUCAUGCUGUGUUAAUGUAAAUAUUCACAAUUUACAUUCAGCCAUACUCCUAAGUCCCAGGUAUAUAAAAUAUAAAUAUAACUCUAAACAAAUGUAUAAAAACGUCAAUACGUCAUUUAUAUGUCACGAUAAAAUAAGUGACUAUAGAAUUUUAAAAUCAAAUUAUAUUAUUAUUAUAUAAUUAAUAAUAUCUGCAGUCUGUAGCCACAAUUUUAAUAGGCAAUUUUCUCAUUUUUGUGAAGAGUAUUUAGAAAUUUGAUAACAUUAACUGACAAGAAGUUAAGAUUUUUAUGUUAAGAAUAAUUUAAUAUUUUAGACACUGUUGACAAUGUAAAUCAUUUUCGUCCAUCCAACUCAAAGGUCUUGUUAAUUGUAUAAGACCGCACUCCCGCAACAUGGUGUUAAUCUGCGUGUUGACAGAUUUUAUAAAUCGUAACAAAACUUUAAGUUUAUUAUGUAAUCAUUGAUUAUAGUUUUUUUUUUGUAUGAUUGUUAUUUAAUUAAUAAAAAACAAUUCUUAUGAAAAUGAAAGUAAACAUUUUUCAAUCAUUUUUCGACAGUUUAAAUACCUACUAAUAAUAGUUAUAAGUUUACAAUAAUUGUACUAAAUUCUUAAGAGUAAACAAACAAUGGAUUUGUAAAACACUCGAUUUUCCAUUAUUUUCUUAUCAUCACACAAUAAUAUUAAGUCCUAAGAAGUAAGAACAAUUGACCAAAAUCGACACCGACAAGGUUUUCAUUGUGAAACCUGUCCAACACAAUCCUGAAUUGCAAUUUCUUAAACUGUCUACAAAGAUAAAUAUUUGCGCAUUAGUUGUAUAUUUUAAGUGAAUUCAUGACUACUUAUAUGGAGUUAAAAUAUACCUAAUGUGGUGUUAAUAUAUAAUUACAAUUAAUUAAAUGUUUUAUGUAAUAUGAAUACCUAUAAAUGUUUACACUGUACGUCUGUACAGUACAUACCUACCUACACCUACGUACCUACUACAGUGUUGUGGUGCCUACAACAGACUAGCUGCUCCACCUCCAUAAGUCAAAUAAAAAAAUCGUAGUGAUUUCUAAAUUGAUUGAAAAUAAAAUACUUUAAAAUCAAUCCCAAUUGAUUUUACUAUAGAAUAUUUUACUAGCUAUAUAAUACAAGGACACACAGGUAAAUUACAAAAAAAUAUAAGACCAGUAGUUAGAUUCAAUCGCGAACGGUUUUAUGGAUUCUACCUAAUUUAGUACCUAAUUAUUUUAUUUUGAUCCGCUAAAUUCUGUAUUAUGUCUGUUACAACAUAAAAUGUUAGUUUUACACACUUCACCAUAUACAACUAAAGGCAAACCUAUAUGUAAAAGGUAUUAAAAGAAAAUAUUAAAUCUCUAUUAUAAACAAUA